rnacentral:rRNA from 1 species
GAUGAACGCUGGCGGCGUGCCUAAUACAUGCAGGUCGAGCGAACGGACGAGAAGCUUGCUUCUCUGAUGUUAGCGGCGGACGGGUGAGUAACACGUGGAUAACCUACCUAUAAGACUGGGAUAACUUCGGGAAACCGGAGCUAAUACCGGAUAAUAUUUUGAACCGCAUGGUUCAAAAGUGAAAGACGGUCUUGCUGUCACUUAUAGAUGGAUCCGCGCUGCAUUAGCUAGUUGGUAAGGUAACGGCUUACCAAGGCAACGAUGCAUAGCCGACCUGAGAGGGUGAUCGGCCACAAUGGAACUGAGACACGGUCCAGACUCCUACGGGAGGCAGAAGUAGGGAAUCUGCCGCAAUGGGCGAAAGCCUGACGGAGCAACGCCGCGUGAGUGAUGAAGGUCUUCGGAUCGUAAAACUCUGUUAUUAGGGAAGAACAUAUGUGUAAGUAACUGUGCACAUCUUGACGGUACCUAAUCAGAAAGCCACGGCUAACUACGUG